AGCGGAAACGAGUUAUCUGAACCUUCGGGGAACGAUAACGGCGUCGAGCGGCGGACGGGUGAGUAAUGCCUGGGAAAUUGCCCUGAUGUGGGGGAUAACUAUUGGAAACGAUAGCUAAUACCGCAUAACGUCUACGGACCAAAGAGGGGGACCUUCGGGCCUCUCGCUUCAGGAUAUGCCCAGGUGGGAUUAGCUAGUUGGUGAGGUAAUGGCUCACCAAGGCGACGAUCCCUAGCUGGUCUGAGAGGAUGAUCAGCCACACUGGAACUGAGACACGGUCCAGACUCCUACGGGAGGCAGCAGUGGGGAAUAUUGCACAAUGGGCGCAAGCCUGAUGCAGCCAUGCCGCGUGUAUGAAGAAGCCUUCGGGUUGUAAAGUACUUUCAGUCGUGAGGAAGGCA
rnacentral:rRNA from 1 species